GAACAGGAAGUGACGUUAUACUCUCCGUUCCUUAGAGAGUCCCGACGGAAGCGGAGGAAAUUUAGGCCCAACUCUUGGUUCCGGAGCAGAGUCUGCAGGUUAAAGGUCCGGCACGCCCCGCACCACCACGCCCAGGUGUUCCAUGUUUCUGUGAGGAUCUCUGGUUUUUCCUGCAUAGUGGCCGAUCAGGUUUUUCCUCCUUGGUGUAGAAAGCUGUGAAAGCAUGAGGCUUGGCGUAAAUGACGACUAGCAGUCUGUCUUGAGAAGCCAGACAUUUUAUUUCAUGAGUCACAAUGUUGGGGCUGUACAAGGAAACACCAAGCUGUCAUUGACCACAUCUUACAUUCCACACAGCAGGAGAGAGUGAGGGAAACCAGUGAUGAGAGACAACUAAUAGUGGUCCCCAAUGUCACCAUUUGACCUUCUUAUUCUGGUUAUUCUUGGAACCACUUCAUCUAGCCUUGGACACACAGAUCAGUGCCUUGCUCAGCCAUCAUCAGAGAAGUUUCUCCCUGCAUCAGAUGGGAACUAAUACAGAAACCUACAGACAGACAUUCACUUUGGAUUCAGAUGUUCAGUUCCAAAUACUGUAAUGCAAAAUAUUACUGUCAAGGAAAGACAUCCAGGAAUGAAGAGAGGAUGGAGUACUUACCCAGUUAUCUUGUAAGUGGACAUGGUUACAAGAAACGCAGAAUCUCCGCCUUUUCAGGAACCAGAACUGAGCAGGAAGGGACAUUUCUAGGUCAUCCAUGGCAUAAGAACUUCCAAAGGAAAAACAAAACAAUGAAAACAGGAGUCAGAAAGCAAUGCAGAUAAAGGUCACUAUCCCUGGGCUUUACGUCAAGCCUCAACACAGCAGUUCAGUGAUUCGGUGGCCUUGCUGUAAAAACCUAAUAGACUUAGUCUGCUAAGAAGCUACAGUUUUGAUAGCUUUAAGAUGACUGCGUUAUUCUUGUUCAACAGUCUUGGACCUCCACUGAGGGCUAAUAAGUCUAUGAAUACUGAAAUUAUUCUCCGUUAAGAAAAAUCUCUCCAAGUUGAAUUAGCAGGAGCUAAUGAAGUCUGAUUACUUUUAAGGAUUUUAUUUGAUAAUAAAUUAUAUAUAUCUAUGUGUGUGUGUGUGUGUGUCUGUGUGUGUACACAAGUACAGUGCCCACAGAUCCCAUAAGAGGGCGACAGAUUCCCCUGGAGCUGGAGCUAAGGCUUUGCUGUGAACUGAUAGGUGUGGGUACUAACCACACUCAGGCCCUCCAGCCCCUGAGUGACAUCAUUUCAGAAGGUCAGCGAGUCGUCUCAGAAGCUGACUUCCACAAACCUCUUAACCAGCUCAGUGCACUAAAGCUUAGUUAAGAAAGCAGUGUUUUCAGGUCAUUUUGUCAAAUUAAAUCUAGAACUUUCUGACUCUGUGAAUCCAGAAAAUCAUUUAAUAUGUUUGCAUCUAAGCUUCUGUCGUUAAGUGGCCUGGUAUUCAUGCUAUACACACAGAGUGGAUGGUAAGGAUUCAAGUGCCCUGGGCUCACAGAUGCUAUUAGUGGCGCACAGCGGAGCUCAGUGGUUAUUGC